GGUCUGGUAGUUCAGUUGGUUAGAAUACCGGCCUGUCACGCCGGGGGUCGCGGGUUCGAGUCCCGUCCAGACCG
rnacentral:tRNA from 1 species